rnacentral:tRNA from 1 species
CAAAAAGUAGCUUACCCACCAAAGCAUCUGGCUUACAACCAGAAGUCGUUGCACACCAACCUUUUUGA